rnacentral:rRNA from 1 species
AUACGGAGGAUCCGAGCGUUAUCCGGAUUUAUUGGGUUUAAAGGGUGCGCAGGCGGCCAUUUAAGUCAGCGGUUAAAUCGUGGGGCUCAACCCCAUUCUGCCGUUGAUACUGGGUGGCUUGAUUGCGGUCGAGGUUGGCGGAAUUCGUUGUGUAGCGGUGGAAUGCAUAGAUAUGACGAAGAACACCGAUUGCGUAGGCAGCUGACCAGACCGCAAAUGACGCUCAUGCACGAAAGUGCGGGGAUCGAACAGGAUUAGAUACCCUGGUAGUCCGCACAGUAAACGAUGAAUACUUGUUUUCGGCGAUAUAAUGUCGGAGGCAAAGCGAAAGCGAUAAGUAUUCCACCUGGGGAGUACGCCGGCAACGGUGAAACUCAAAUGAAUUGGCGGGG